rnacentral:rRNA from 1 species
ACGUAGGUGGCAAGCGUUGUCCGGAAUUAUUGGGCGUAAAGCGCGCGCAGGUGGUUAUAUAAGUCUGAUUUUAAAGUUCGGGGCUCAACCCCGUGAUGGAUUGGAAACUGUAUAACUUGAGUACAGUAGAGGUAAGCGGAAUUCCCCGGGUAGGGGUGAAAUGCGUAAAUAUUGGGAGGAACACCAGUGGCGAAGGCGGCUUACGGGGCUGGAUCUGACAGUGAGGCGCGAAAGCUAGGGGAGCAAACAG